rnacentral:misc_RNA from 1 species
AAUUAACUCUUUUCUUAAACUUUGACUCUGAGAACUCCAAUGGUGAUGUAAGAUUUACAAUAACCUAUAUCUCCCCUUCAGAUGUCCCUGAGCAUAGAAUGCUUUUUGUAAAUGCAUGCAUACUUUUUUCCUGUUGAUUUUGAUCAAGUCACAGAAAUUGAACUUCUUUUUAAUGGUGUCGAUUUAAAUUUCAUUUUUUAACCAGAUUAAGAUUUGGGAAGAUCUCAA